UUGACCUCAAAUCAGGUUGGAUUACCCGCUGAACUUAAGCAUAUCAAUAAGC
rnacentral:rRNA from 1 species